GCGGCUUUAGCUCAGUUGGGAGAGCGUUAGACUGAAGAUCUAAAGGUCGCCCGUUCGAUCCGGGCAAGCCGCA
rnacentral:tRNA from 13 species